rnacentral:rRNA from 1 species
UACGUAGGUGGCGAGCGUUGUCCGGAAUUACUGGGUGUAAAGCGCGUGUAGGCGGCAGGCCAAGUCGGUGGUGAAAGCGCCCGGCUCAACUGGGCGAGGUCCAUGGAAACUGGUCAGCUGGAGGACGGUAGAGGCGAGUGGAAUUCCCGGUGUAGUGGUGAAAUUCGUAGAUAUUGGGAAGAACACCGGUGGCGAAGGCGGCUCACUGGCUCAUUACUGACGCUCAGGCGCGAUAGCGUGGGGAUCAAACAGG